AUUGAACGCUGGCGGCAUGCCUUACACAUGCAAGUCGAACGGUAACAGGGAGCUUGCUCCGCUGACGAGUGGCGAACGGGUGAGUAAUGCAUCGGAACGUACCAUUUAGUGGGGGAUAACGUAGCGAAAGUUACGCUAAUACCGCAUAUUCUCUGAGGAGGAAAGCAGGGGACCUUCGGGCCUUGCGCUAAUUGAGCGGCCGAUGUCGGAUUAGCUAGUUGGUGGGGUAAAGGCCUACCAAGGCUACGAUCCGUAGCGGGUCUGAGCGGAUGAUCCGCCACAAUGGGACUGAGAGACGGCCCAGACUCCUACGGGAGGCAGCAGUGGGGAAUUGUGGACAAUGGGGGCAACCCUGAUCCAGCCAUGCCGCGGGAGUGAAGAAGGCCUUCGGGUUGUAAAGCUCUUUCGGUGGGGAAGAAAGCGCACUGGAUAAUACCUAGUGUGGAUGACGGUACCCAAAUAAGAAGCACCGGCUAACUACGUGCCAGCCGCCGCCGUAACAC
rnacentral:rRNA from 1 species